rnacentral:lncRNA from 1 species
CUGACCUUCACUUUUCUGACAUUCCUGUCCCUCCUCUUGUCCAUGUAAGUGCAUGUGCAGUUGCUGCAGGAGGGAUUUAUGGUCAACAAUGUGCAGACAGCAGCAGCCAGUGUGUUUCUAUUCCCAGUUUAACCAGUGUUCUGUCACUGGAAUGCCGCUCUCUUUCUGUUGACUUUCAUUGGCAUUCUUCACUCAGGUCACACAGGUUACACAGCUGAAGGCCUCUCUGUCUGUCUGUCUGUCUGUCUAUCUGUCUAUCUGUCUGUCUGUCUGUCUGAUUCUGCCCUUUCAGCCCAGUACACACACACAAGCACAAGCACACACACACACACUUACACACCUGGACCUGGCUGAACUCAUUGGAGAGGAGGCUGCGGAGCUGCUCGGUGGUGAGGGAUUCUCCAUCUGAGCUGUAGCUGAGGAACAGAGCUCUAGUCAUGGGCCUGCUGGAGCCCUGCGGAGUGGCUGGAGGGAGAGGGAGAUAGAAGAGGGAAGGGGGUGAGACACUUAUUGCUCUUAGGAAUGUCCAUCCUCCCAUCCAGCAAAGACAAAUACAUGAGGAGAGAAAUUGUGUUGACUAAGGAUACUAUUUUGACCACUUACUUUUCUCAGUUUGGGCCAUGGAGACAAGACAAGAAAGAGCCAGCACUGCCCCCAAGUGGUGGAGAAAUGUCAUUGUAGUAACCUGCAGAAGACAAUAAAAGACAUUCAAAAUGGGCCUGAAGUUGGGCAUGGAGUUGACUCUGAAACUUCAUUGUCAGAAAUGUGUGAUGAACAUGAAAGCCCAAGAUAGACUGAGAUCACACCACCCAAUAUUACUCACUCACCCAAUAGACACACAGGUACCAACAUACCUAAAAUAUUUGUAAAACAUCACAGAAGAUAUAUAGCUCUUUGACAGAGAGAAAUACUUUCGCUUGUUUCGCUGUUCCUCUUUUUCCUCCUCGUCUGUUUUACAGAUUAAAACCUGUUCGGUCACUUCAAAGCAAAGUGUUGCUUUCACCUGGCUGGUUUUCACCUGGCUAGUAUACACCUGGCUGGUGUUCACCUGGCUGGUGUUCACCUGGCUGGUAUUCACCUGGCUAGUAUUCACCUGACUGGUGUUCACCUGGCUGGUGUUCACCUGGCUAGUAUUCACCUGGCUGGUUUUCACCUGGCUGGUAUUCACCUGGCUAGUAUUCACCUGGCUGGUUUUCACCUGGCUAGUAUUCACCUGGCUGGUAUUCACCUGGCUGGUGUUCAC